rnacentral:misc_RNA from 1 species
GAUGAAAACGUAGCGAAAUGCGAUAAGUAAUGUGAAUUGCUGAAUUCAGUGAAUCAUCGAAUCUUUGAACGCACCUUGCACCCUUUGGCAUUCCGAAGGGUAUGCUCGUUUGAGUGUCAUUGUACUCUCACACUUCCAAUCUUUGGAUUGGGAGCAGUGGACUUGGGUGUUGCUGCUUACUGUGGCUCACCUCAAAUCGAUUCGUGCACCUCUUGGUUGGACAUAGUACGGCUUGAUAAGUGUCUUCGCCGGCACCUCAGUAGAGGGUGGCUGAUCAGGAGCUCUGUGCUUCAAACCGUCCUCGGACAACAACUGACAACUUGACCUCAAAUCGAGUAGGACUACCCGCUGAACUUAAGCAUAUCAAUAAGCGGAGGA